GAUGAACGCUGGCGGCGUGCCUAAUACAUGCAAGUCGAGCGAACAGACGAGGAGCUUGCUCCUCUGACGUUAGCGGCGGACAGGUGAGUAACACGUGGAUAACCUACCUAUAAGACUGGGAUAACUUCGGGAAACCGGAGCUAAUACCGGAUAAUAUAUUGAACCGCAUGGUUCAAUAGUGAAAGACGGUUUUGCUGUCACUUAUAGAUGGAUCCGCGCCGCAUUAGCUAGUUGGUAAGGUAACGGCUUACCAAGGCAACGAUGCGUAGCCGACCUGAGAGGUAGAGCGGCAAACAUGGAACUGAGACACGGUCCAGACGCCGACGGGAGGCAGCAGGAGGGAAUCGUCCGCAAUGGGCGAAAGCCUGACGGAGCAACGCAGCGGGAGUGAUGAAGGUCUUAGGAUCGUAAAACUCUGUUAUUAGGGAAGAACAAAUGUGUAAGUAACUAUGCACGUCUUGACGGUACCUAAUCAGAAAGCCACGGCUAACUUCGUG
rnacentral:rRNA from 1 species